CUCAAACUUGAGAUCCUCCUGCCACAGCCUCCCAGGGUGCUGGGAUGACAGACAUGUGCCACCACGCCCUGUGAGAAGGCUGCUUGUGACAGGUGUGGACGCAAUCGGAGAGUCUUUAGGGGCCACAGCUUUGGGUCAGUCUGUGGGUCCCUGGUGUCUGGGGUGGGGGUGCCGGUGGCCUGGGGUCUGGCUGGGAGAUGCGGCUGGUGGAAACAGCCCCAGAGAGGGGCUGUGGCUUUGAGGGCCGGGGACCUGGGUCCACAGCCUGUUCUCUGCCCACGGCCCCGUGGCCUCCCCAGAGCAGGACAGGCCUGGGUUCCUGAGAGCGGCUUUCUUGAUGCCCUGCUUCCGGGAAGUUCUAUCCCAGAAAGGGCAGAUGCUCGAGCGGGUGCUGGAUGUGGGCGGAGCUCCAGGAGCAGGCUCUUGGCCAGGCCCUGGAGAAGGAGGGCUUUCAGAGAAGCCAGGCGCUGGCUCCCUACAGGCCUGCCAUGACCUCAGGCCUGGGUCUCUGGGAGCGCUAGCCCUGCCUGCCUCAGUUUCCCUGUUUGUAUUUCUCAGAGAAGCCAAGGAGUGUGGGCAUGAACACCCCCUGAGAACGCUGGGUCCUCCCAAGCCUCCUCUGUCCCCAGACGGAGCCCCCACCUCCAGGCCUACGCUGGGCCUGUUUCCUGGGCAUCCGUCCUGUGCUGGGGUUGCUGCCCUGCCUGACGCCCACCUUCAGAGUUGCCUGAGUGUGCACUGCGAAGCGGGGUGUGGGAAGACAUUGGUGACUGCGUCUGUGAGACCCCAGAGCAGACCUGGAGGAGCUGCCCCAGGUUAAGUCCAGUCUGGAGAUAUGUUUGCUGCGGCCCUUAAAGUACUUUUAAGAACUGAAUCAGUGGCCAGUGUUUGAAACGCAAGGCUGUUCUAUGUAAAAUCCAUUUCUCUGGAUCCUCUUGGCAACCGGGAAGAUCUGGCCCACCGUAGGGGGCUGGAGUGGGGUCCCAGGCGGAGAACAGCCCAUAGCAGUCGCUCUCCUGCUUACCCAGCUCCUGCUUGGCUCUCUUUCUUCAUACAAGUUGUCUGCCAGGGUCCUGAAGUAUGAAUAGGAGUUUGCCAGAGAAAGAGGGGUAAAAAGGAAUUCUAGGACAGAGGACAGCUAUUCAACAUUCACUCCACAGUUACAUUUCAGUGCCGACUGCAUGCACAGGGGCAGACAGCAGGAAGCCAGGCAGAUCCAAGUCCCUGGCCUCAGCCUAGGGGGUCUCGAUGGGGAGCAGUCUAUAGUUCCCCUCAAGACACUUGGCUGUGCCUGGGGAUAUCCGGUUGUUACCGCUGGGGUGGGAGGGGUGCCACCGAGCUCACGGGACACUGUCCAUGGUGUCCAGCAGGGUCCAAGGUCAAGACCUGGGCAGCAGGCCGGGGAGUGCUGACUCUGAGCUCCACUCAGAGCGUGGGGCCGGGGUGUGGGGGCCGUGGCUGCCUGGGGAGGGGCCACCGAGACUGGGGACAGGCAGGAUCCAGACAGUACAGUCCCCGAUGGGUCAAUCAAGGGUCCCCGACCUCUCCUUCCAGGGUCCUGGAGCUCCUUGGAAGUGGCAAUGGUCUCUGAUUGCCUUCUGUCAUUCAGUCAACAAACACUUGUCGGGAGCCCACGGGCCUCAUGAGAUGGGACCUCUCCAGGCACAGCUGCUGCCACCGGUCACGCGGCACACAGUGGGUGCAAGGACAAGGCGGGCAGAAGAGGAACGGAAGGGGUGAAGGAGGAAACAAGCCCGUCUGACAGAAGACCGAAUGUCUCCCACUGCUGCGGCCCCAGCAAGCCUCGUAACAGUAGUGUCCGGUGUGUGACACACCAGGAGUGUGAUCAUCGCUGCGGCCCUGGUGCCUGUGUCACGGAGUGUUAUGAGGGAGGGGCUGUGAAGUCUGGAGCUGCAGCAGCCACUUUGUGUCAAUGAGGAGAAUCAGCUGGAGGAUAAAGCCCAAGUCCUAGGACGCUGGUCCUCACUGGCGCCUCUGAGCUGUCACAUUAACCAAUCCUGAGAUAACAAGAUCUUUACAUUUAAAGCCUUUUAGAGAGUGUCGAGAGCACCUGACCAAGGUGGCAAACCCUAUAGAUAAGAGGUUGCUCCCAAAUUGCCCUUGCUAUUCCACACCCGCCUCCUGAGUCAUGCAAAGGGCCCCCGUCUCACCGCUGC